AUAGUAGUUAUAAAGCCUAACUCAUGUAUAUCCAGAUUACCAUCUAUGUUCUUCCUCCAAACCCAUUUUAUCAUUGGGAUUACAGGCAAUUCUUUAGGACUGCUCUCAAAUAAUUGAAAUGUUACUAAACAAGGUUAUACUUAUCAAAUUAAAUAGCUCUGGUCUCCAGUAUAUUGGCGAAUUCAGUUAUUUGUCCUUAAUUUAUUAGCAUGAUUUCUUUUUUAAUAUGUUGUGUACAGACUUACUUACUUCUCUGUCUACUUUUCUUACUCCAUGUAGGUUUCCCAGGGACUAUGGGAUGAGGAGGAAGUGGAAGUUUGUCGGUUUAGACCUGGUGUCAUUCCAUCAGUGUUUAACUUCCCGGCUCAUCUUGGAAGAGUACGUGCCAGAAAGACCACGACCAAGCAGCCUUGAGAUCUUAGGCAGCGUCUCCCUGAGACCAAAGAACUACAGACUCUUCACAACCUGCUCAAACUCUUGGUACAGGACCUCACCACACGGGUCAAGAAGGUUUCUGUCUCAUUUCUACUCUGAAGCUCACCUUCUCCUGCUCAAACUGCUGAUAAAUGUUUGUGCUGCUCUAAAGUCUGGUCUCCAGAACUUCCUAAAAACUCUCAAAGUCUCUUCUGCUGCAGGUUGCUUUGUAGAACUGUUCCAGAAAACCUCACUAAACCACAUGGAGGGGCCUCAAGAUAGUCGUCCAAAUGAAACCGUACAAAAACCAAACUAGUACAACCCAAACGCUAAAGUCUCCUGCAGCCUACCAGAGAACCUCUAGGAACAGAGAAUCAGGACAGGAACUCUUACCUUCUGGACAACCAACGCUGGUUCACAAACAAGAAUACAGAAUGUGUCUGACCAAAAACCUCUGAAGACUCACUACAGCCAAGAUAAAGACACAACCCAGCUGCAUCAAAUCCACUAAUCACUGCACACAUUAGCACCAUGUGCUAACUGUGGCUAAAGAACCACAUUUACCAAGACAAC
ensembl:lncRNA